CCUACGUGUGGCAGCAGUGAGGAAUAUUGGUCAAUGGCCGUAAGUCUGAACCAGCCAAGUAGCGUGAGGGAAGACUGCCCUAUGGGUUGUAAACCUCUUUUAUGCGGGGAUCAAGUGGUCCACGUGUGGAUGUUUGCAGGUACCGCAUGAAUAAGGACCGGCUAAUUCCGUGCCAGCGGCCGCGGUAAUACGGAAGGUCCGGGCGUUAUCCGGAUUUAUUGGGUUUAAGGGGAGCGUAGGCCGGUCUUUAAGCGAGCCGUGAAAUUUUGUGGCUCAACCCUGAGAGUGCGGGGCGAACUGGAGACAUUGAGUGCACGGAAGGCGGGCGGAAUGCGUGGUGUAGCGGUGAAAUGCUUAGAUAUCACGAAGAACCCCGAGUGCGAAGGCAGCCUGCCGCAGCGUUACUGACGCUGAAGCUCGAAAGCGCGGGUAUCGAACAGGAUUAGAUACCCCUGUAGUC
rnacentral:rRNA from 1 species